rnacentral:rRNA from 1 species
UACGGAGGAUGCAAGCGUUAUCCGGAUUUAUUGGGCGUAAAGCGUCCGCAGGUGGUUUUCCAAGUCUGCUGUUAAAGCGCGAGGCUUAACCUCGUACAGGCAGUGGAAACUGGAUGACUAGAGUAUGGUAGGGGUAGCGGGAAUUCCCAGUGUAGCGGUGAAAUGCGUAGAUAUUGGGAAGAACACCAGCGGCGAAGGCGACUUCCUGGCCUGUUCUUGACGCUGAGGCGCGAAAGCUAGGGUAGCAAACGGG